CUGUUCUUACUUCAACUGCCUCAAAAGUUUUUGCAGUAUUGCCCAAGCCAAGGAUUAUACACCAACUGAACAUUUUCGCCGUUCGGGCAAUCCAAGAUGGAGUCACGCAAGGAAGGUUAUAGAGGCUCAGGAAAGCAGAAGAAGGUCAAAAUUGUUUUUGUUAUAGGUGGUCCAGGGUGUGGUAAAGGCACGCAAUGCAAAAGAAUAGCACAACUGUUUGGCUACACUCAUCUUAGUGUUGGUGAGCUUCUACGUCAAGAAAUCAAUUCUGGUUCUGAAACUGGCUCUAUGAUUCAGAAAAUUAUGAAGGAGGGGAAGCUUGUUCCUUCAGAUGUAACAGUGAGGCUUCUUCAGCAAGCCAUGCAGGGAAUGGACAGCGACAAAUUCCUUAUUGACGGUUUCCCCCGGAAUGAAGAGAAUGUUAAAACAUUUGAGAAUCUUACAAAAAUGGAGCCUGAGUUUGUCCUUUAUCUAGAUUGUCCACAAGAUGAAAUGGAGGGGCGCUUGCUCUCAAGAAACGAGGGAAGGGAGGAUGAUAACAUCGAGACAAUAAGGAAGCGAUUUAAAGUGUUUCUGGAGUCAACUCUCCCUGCAGUCGAAUAUUAUGAAUCAAAGGGGAAAGUUAAGAAGGUUGAUGCUGGAAAAUCUGUUGAUGAGGUUUUCGAGUCGAUCAAAUCCAUUUUCUCUCAAGGAAAAGAGGAUAAGGUGCCAUCAAGCAGACACAACCACAAAUGCCUGAUACUCUGAACGGAUAAGCCUCAAAGCGUGAAAGUAUACAUAAAUAUUUUCACACUUAUACAUACACACUCUCAGUGUAGUGUACCUUGCCUUAUUAUUCAGGGAAUAUUAUAUGUGAGGAAGCAACACAGAGUGUUUUGGAGGCGAUAAUGUGAAGAAAACGCCCACUCGAGAAGUACCCGAGCACAAAGGAGCAGAAAAUGGUCUGGGCAAGAAUUCCACUGCGACCGCGGUGGACCGCGGCGGAUUAAAAUGUGAGGCAGAAAGGUCAGCUCUCACCGCGGUCGAUCGCGGUCCACGCCACGACCGCGAUGAACUGUUCACGCUGCUGGAAGUCUGGGACUAAAGUGUAUUUUCGGGAAAUUUUUUGUAAAACCCUUAUAAGCUUUAGAACUUCGCCCAAGAUGGGGUUAAGCUUGUUUUUAGACUACUUUUGGAAGAGGAACAAGUGUGAGGAGACAAUCCAAACAUUAGAGU